CUGGCACUCGCCAAGCAGCAUCCCGAUAUCAGUCGAAAUGUUUACCUACCUUAUGCUCGUUGACUGGCCGAACAGGAGCAAUUUAUCGAAGCUCAGCAAGCUUAUUACGGAGUGGGUUGUUUGGAGGAAGCGGAGCGAGUUCUCAACACACUAGCGAUGAACUCCGUGGCGUUAAACAAAUACGAAGACGCCUCACAUUUCUUCUGGAUCUUCGCCAAACAUCGGCUCCAGUUGGCCGCCAAAGCGUUAGCUAUUCCAUUUCUACAAAAACUUUCUGAAUGAAAUAAACAAUAAUAAUAAUAAUAAACCUUAAUGAACAGGGAAUUGUCAAACGGAGCACUGAAGCACGUUACUCAGUUUCACGCUUUAGAACGCAAGAGUCGGCAUAUUAUGCUUAUCAAGCAAUCCAUCGCUUCGCGAAUGAGCCUUUCACUUCCAGUUUGCCGGAAGCAUUAUUUAACAUAGCGCGUUAUCUUCUUCACGAAACACUCCACGGUCCAUUAACUGGCAUCAGUCUAUUCGCAGUGGUUUAUUCCUUGAUGAAAUACGCCAAGACGUUAGGCGCAUACAAGACGGUGAAGCAUGCUGUGACGUUGCUGCAGAAUAUGAAGAUAACUGUCCAGUUUCAGGAGAUUGUCAAC